rnacentral:rRNA from 1 species
AGUGAACGCUGGCGGUAGGCCUAACACAUGCGAGUCGAACGGCAGCACAGUAAGAGCUUGCUCUUACGGGUGGCGAGUGGCGGACGGGUGAGGAAUACAUCGGAAUCUACUUUUUCGUGGGGGAUAACGUAGGGAAACUUACGCUAAUACCGCAUACGACCUACGGGUGAAAGCAGGGGAUCUUCGGACCUUGCGCGAUUGAAUGAGCCGAUGUCGGAUUAGCUAGUUGGCGGGGUAAAGGCCCACCAAGGCGACGAUCCGUAGCUGGUCUGAGAGGAUGAUCAGCCACACUGGAACUGAGACACGGUCCAGACUCCUACGGGAGGCAGCAGUGGGGAAUAUUGGACAAUGGGCGCAAGCCUGAUCCAGCCAUACCGCGUGGGUGAAGAAGGCCUUCGGGUUGUAAAGCCCUUUUGUUGGGAAAGAAAAGCAGCAGGUUAAUACCCCGCUGUUCUGACGGUACCCAAAUAAUAAGCACCGGCUAACUUCGUG